rnacentral:rRNA from 1 species
UACGGAGGGGGCUAGCGUUGUUCGGAAUUACUGGGCGUAAAGCGCACGUAGGCGGCUUUGUAAGUUAGAGGUGAAAGCCCGGGGCUCAACUCCGGAAUUGCCUUUAAGACUGCAUCGCUAGAAUUGUGGAGAGGUAAGUGGAAUUCCGAGUGUAGAGGUGAAAUUCGUAGAUAUUCGGAAGAACACCAGUGGCGAAGGCGACUUACUGGACACAUAUUGACGCUGAGGUGCGAAAGCG